GAGACGGAGUAGAGGUAACCCCUGAAUAUGAGAGAGUCAGAGAGACAGAGUAGAGGUAACACCUGAAUAUGAGAGAGUCAGAGAGACAGAGUAGAGGUAACCCCUGAAUAUGAGAGAGUCAGAGAGACAGGGUAGAGGUAACACCUGAAUA